UACGUAGGGUGCAAGCGUUGUCCGGAAUUAUUGGGCGUAAAGAGCUCGUAGGCGGUCUGUCGCGUCGGCUGUGAAAUCCCGAGGCUCAACCUCGGGUCUGCAGUCGAUACGGGCAAACUAGAGUAUUGCAGGGGAGACUGGAAUUCCUGGUGUAGCGGUGAAAUGCGCAGAUAUCAGGAGGAACACCGGUGGCGAAGGCGGGUCUCUGGGCCUUACCUGACGCUGAGGCGCGAAAGCUAGGGGAGCGAACAGG
rnacentral:rRNA from 1 species